rnacentral:lncRNA from 1 species
GGAUGCGCCGCGGACAGGGUCCUGGCCGGUCAGCCCGCGGGCCGCUGGCUUUGCUGCAGCCGCCCCGGCGCAGGGGAGGAGCGCCGAGAAAGGGCGGGGCCGGGCCUCACCUCCACGGCCUGGCCCAGCUCCAGGAACAGUUCUUGUUCUAUCACAACCUUCUGGAUCUGCCGGAGUGCUGCUCUCUCAUCCUAAUCAGAAUGUAGCUCCAGUGAGCACCGUUCUCCUGCACUGAUGACUGUCACCAUUGCUUCCACCACUGAAUUUGGGAAGUAUUUGAUAUUCUUCCAAGAAAGUGAAAUAAGCCCAAGAACACAACCGAGGCCAAGCUGUGAUUGUUAACAGGUUUUGACUUUUGUUUACAGAAAGUGUAAUAGACAGGGUAACCUAUACUGCUGUUAGCAGUGGCUGCUAUGAAAGGUCCACAGUCUAAACUCACUAUCAGAAUGGCAGAAACGCAGGACUUCUGGAAACUCUACCAUCAUCAGAGGCUGUCCUCUUGUCCUAUGCCCUACAAAAGACAUAAUACAACACAGUCUGUCAUCAGUCCAAUUCCUGAGGUCUGGGAUUUUCAGUCUUUAACACCACAGGUGGAACUCAACAAUCCAUGUCAUAAAGUGCUGGGCCAAGUGCCCUCCAUUUCUUGUUUACAGUUUCUCCUCCAGCAUUGGCUGAAGAAAACAAGCCUGCACACUCUCUCAGCAUUCCUCUCCAUCCCACUUCCAUGACCCUCAUAAAUAAGUGUCUAAAGAACAGGCCUCUCAGCUCUGUAAAGAUAUCCAGUAAUGAGCCAGGCACAGUGGCUCAUGCCUGUAAUCCCAGCACUUUGGGAGGCCGAGGCAGGAGGAUCACCUGAGGUCAGGAGUUCAAGACCACCCUGGCCAACAUGGUGAAACUCCAUCUCUAAUAAAAACAAAAAUUAUCCGGAUGUGGUGGUGUGUGCAUGUAAUCCCAGCUACUUGGGAGCCUGAGGCAGGAGAAUUGCUUGAACCCAGGAGGUUGCAGUGAGCCGAGAUUGCAUCACUGCACUCCAGCCUGGGUGACAGAGUGAGACUCUGUUUCAAAAAAAAAAAAAAAAGAUAUCCAGUAGUGCACAAGCAUAGGACAAUCUAGAUCCAUACUUACGGAGAAACAUUUCUUUAUAGAAAUCAAUAUAUAGAGGCAGACAACUACUAAAAGAUACCUUAUUAGCAGCCUGAAGCAUCUUCAUUUGUUUGUUUUGAGAUGGAGUCUUGCUCUGUCGUCCAGGCUGGAAUGCAGUGGCGCAAUCUUGGCUCAUUGCAACCUCCACCUCCCAGGUUCAAGUGAUCCUCUUGCCUCAGUCUCCCAGAGAUCUGGGACUACAGGCAUGCACAACUAUGCCCGGCCAAUUUUGCGGAGGCCGGGGGGCGGGUAUUUUUAUUAGAGAUGGGGUUUUGCCAUGUUGGCCAGGCAGGUCUCAAGCUCCUGGCCUCAGCUGAUCCACCUGCCUCAGCCUUCCAAAGUGCUGGGAUUACAGGCCUGAGCCACCAUGUCCGGCCUUCAUUUGUUUUACCUCAGUUAUUUCAGGCCUUCACCUACAACUGGACGUUGGUGAUGGCUUUGCAAUGACAAAACCCAAGAGGCAGCUUCAGGGUAUCUCCCAGGACAAGGGAGGAAUCGGUACUAAAAGGAAAUUAUAGCCUUUGCUUUUAAAUGUAGUGUUUCCAG